CCCUAUGGGGUGCAUAUCCAGAAUGGUCAAGAUGUGCGUGAGAUAUAAUAACAGCUUCAAUUGCGGAUAUGUUAACAUCCGAUAAAUCAGGAUACAUUCCUUCCCCAGAAAGCUUUACCCCACAAUCCAAAAUAAAUAUUCGUCCAUCAAUAUCAACUUCAACGCAAGAUUUUCCGACCUCGCCAGCAGCACCUAACCAUCUAAUCUUCAUGGACAUUCAAACGUAAAAACCUUUAAAUGUUUUAUGAAUUAUUAACUAACAUGGAACUUCAAUAUCAUAUUAAGUGUAAGGAUGGCGAUGUUUUUCCUUACGUUAUCAUGCCAGGGGACCCAAAUAGGGUAAAUUUAAUCGGGAGCUUUAUGGAGGAUGUCAAGCAAAUUGCAUCUAACAGGGAGUAUACCACAAUUUCGGGGUAUUACAAGGGUGUGGGGAUAAGUGUUACAUCUACGGGAAUUGGCGGGGGAGC
rnacentral:rRNA from 1 species